rnacentral:rRNA from 1 species
GAUGAACGCUAGCGGCAGGCUUAACACAUGCAAGUCGUGGGGCAGCGGGGGCUUCGGCCCGCCGGCGACCGGCAAACGGGUGCGGAACACGUACGCAACCUUCCUCAGAGCGGGGAAUAGCCUCUCGAAAGAGAGAUUAAUACCCCAUAGUAUCCCGAAUCUGCAUGGAUUUGGGAUUAAAGCUCCGGCACUUUGAGAUGGGCGUGCGGCUGAUUAGGUAGUUGGUAGGGUAACGGCCUACCAAGCCGACGAUCAGUAGCUGAUGUGAGAGCAUGAUCAGCCACACGGGCACUGAGACACGGGCCCGACUCCUACGGGAGGCAGCAGUGAGGAAUAUUGGUCAAUGGAGGCAACUCUGAACCAGCCAUGCCGCGUGAAGGAUGAAGGUCCUCUGGAUUGUAAACUUCUUUUAUAGAAGAAGAAACCCCAGUAUUCUUAUUGGGUUGACGGUACUCUAUGAAUAAGCACCGGCUAACUCCGUG